rnacentral:rRNA from 1 species
AUGUUUGGCAAUCCAUUAAACUUGUCGUAUGCUACGAGUGAGAUAUCGAAUAUUGCAUCAUUACAAUCUCAACAUAGUAACUAUGCAUGCCCCAUUAAAAUAAAUCACAUUUGCACUUAUGGCAUACAUGAGAAGGUCAUGGUUAUUUGUAUUUGCUUCUCUUGCAAUGAUAUUGCUAUGCUACCUUUGCAAACUUUGUGCAAUUCAUCUCAUAUGCCAUGCCAUGAAUUUUUUUGGAUAUUGCAUGAUUCCAUACCAUGUGUGCACCAGAUGCAUACCGUUCAUCACAAUGCUUUAGAUAUUAGUCGUGAUGCAUUACACGAUUUGAGUCUCCAUUAUGAUAUACAUAACAACAAACCUAUCAUGAUGGAUGACAUGUUCAUAUAUCAUGCAUCUCAUCUAUUUGAGCAUUGGAUAUUUUGUGCUAAGGAACCCAUGCAUUUAUGCAUCAUAAUGGAUGAUGUGUACAUAUACCACGCACACACAAUGUUUGCUUUGCCUCUGUUUUGUGUAGGUACUUAUGAACACUGGUCAACCUCACAAUCCCAGGAGUUGACAAAAUGA